CCAGCCAUGCCGCGUGCAGGAUGACUGCCCUAUGGGUUGUAAACUGCUUUUAUAGGGGAAGAAACGCACCUACGUGUAGGUGUCUGACCGUACCGUAAGAAUAAGGACCGGCUAACUCCGUGCCAGCAGCCGCGGUAAUACGGAGGGUCCGAGCGUUAUCCGGAAUCAUUGGGUUUAAAGGGUCCGUAGGCGGGCCGUUAAGUCAGGGGUGAAAGUCUGCGGCUCAACCGUAGAAUUGCCUUUGAUACUGGCGGUCUUGAGUCGUUGUGGAGUUGCCGGAACAUGUGGUGUAGCGGUGAAAUGCAUAGAUAUCACAUAGAACACCGAUCGCGAAGGCAGGUGACUAACAACGUACUGACGCUGAUGGACGAAAGCGUGGGUAGCGAACGGGAUUAGAUACCCCGGUAGUCCACGCCGUAAACGAUGGAUACUAGCUGUCGGGCCUUCGGGCUCGGCGGCCAAGCGAAAGUGAUAAGUAUCCCACCUGGGGAGUACGUUCGCAAGAAUGAAACUCAAAGGAAUUGACGGGGGCCCGCACAAGCGGUGGAGCAUGUGGUUUAAUUCGAUGAUACGCGAGGAACCUUACCAGGGCUUAAAUGUAGUGGGACAGGCUUAGAGAUAGGCUUUUCUUCGGACUCAUUACAAGGUGCUGCAUGGUUGUCGUCAGCUCGUGCCGUGAGGUGUCAGGUUAAGUCCUAUAACGAGCGCAACCCCUACCGUUAGUUGCCAGCGAGUCAAGUCGGGGACUCUAACGGGACUGCCGGUGCAAACCGUGAGGAAGGUGGGGACGACGUCAAAUCAUCACGGCCCUUACGUCCUGGGCCACACACGUGCUACAAUGGCCGGUACAGAGGGAAGCCACCCCGCGAGGGGGAGCGGAUCUAUAAAACCGGUCACAGUUCGGAUCGGGGUCUGCAACUCGACCCCGUGAAGCUGGAAUCGCUAGUAAUCGGAUAUCAGCCAUGAUCCGGUGAAUACGUUCCCGGGCCUUGUACACACCGCCCGUCAAGCCAUGGAAAGCCGGAGUGCCUGAAGUCCGUCA
rnacentral:rRNA from 1 species